UACGGAGGGUGCAAGCGUUAUCCGGAUUCACUGGGUUUAAAGGGUGCGUAGGUGGGCAGUUAAGUCAGUGGUGAAAUCUCCGGGCUCAACCCGGAAACUGCCAUUGAUACUAUCUGUCUUGAAUAUCGUGGAGGUAAGCGGAAUAUGUCAUGUAGCGGUGAAAUGCUUAGAUAUGACAUAGAACACCAAUUGCGAAGGCAGCUUACUACCCGAAUAUUGACACUGAUGCACGAAAGCGUGGGGAUCAAACAGG
rnacentral:rRNA from 1 species